rnacentral:rRNA from 1 species
AAAGGAAUAGACGGGGGCCCGCACAAGCGGUGGAGUAUGUGGUUUAAUUCGAUGAUACGCGAGAAACCUUACCUGGUCUUGACAUGUUAAGAAUCCUGUAGAGAUACGGGAGUGCUUGCUUGCAAGAACUUAAACACAGGUGGUGCAUGGUUGUCGUCAGCUCGUGUCGUGAGAUGUUUGGUUAAGUCCAGCAACGAGCGCAACCCUUGUUACUAGUUGCCAGCACGUAAUGGUGGGGACUCUAGUGAGACUGCCGGUGACAAACCGGAGGAAGGUGGGGACGACGUCAAAUCAUCACGCCCCUUACGACCAGGGCCACACACGUACUACAAUGCCUAGUACAGCGAGUUGCCAAGCCGCGAGGCUAUAGCUAAUCUCUUAAAACUAGGCCAAGUUCAGAUCGGAGACUGCAAUUCGUCUCCGUGAAGCUGGAAUCGCUAGUAAACGCAAAUCAGCAUGUUGCGUUGAAUACGUUCUCGGGCCUUGUACACACCGCCCGU